UACGUAGGUGGCAAGCGUUGUCCGGAAUUAUUGGGCGUAAAGCGCGCGCAGGCGGCCUUUUAAGUCUGAUGUGAAAGCCCACGGCUCAACCGUGGAAGGUCAUUGGAAACUGAAAGGCUUGAGUACAGAAGAGGAAAGCGGAAUUCCACGUGUAGCGGUGAAAUGCGUAGAGAUGUGGAGGAACACCAGUGGCGAAGGCGCUUUCUGGUCUGUGAACUGACGCUGAGGCGCGAAAGCGUGGGGAGCAAACAGG
rnacentral:rRNA from 1 species